ensembl:lncRNA
CCAAAAUCCAAUCCACCUAUCACCAAUAUUUCCUACUGAACCACAUCCCUUCUGUUUCUUGAACACCUCCAGGAUCAGUGACACCAUGACUUCCCUGGGCAGCCCAUUCCAGCACCUGACCACUCUCUCAGAGAGUUAUCUAACAGGUGGUAGUCAAUUGGAUGAAUCCAGGCUCUUUCACAUGGUGUCCAGCAACAGAAGAAGGGACAAAGAGCACAAACUGGAAUAUAGCUGCCAACCCAUUUUCCAUCAUUCCAUCCAGUGGUACUGGUCAACAGGGGAGGUCCCAACUGACUGCAGAUUUGAUAAUGGGAUGCUCAUCUACAGUACAGUGCCAAGGAUGUUUCAGAUUUUCAGCUUCUCAUGCUGCUCUGUCAGUGAGCGGGCUUUGGAGGCACAAGGAGUUAGCAGAGGACUGACAUAAGCUGGCCAAAGGCAUGUUCCAUACCAUAUGGCACCAUGUGAAAUAAAUAUAAAACUGAGUAAGUUUUCAUCUCAGCCUACAAGAACUACUUGUUUUUCUCUCCUGGGAGUGGAGGGGGGAGUGAGUAAUGGCUGCAUGGUGUUCAUCUGCCUACCAGCUUAAACCACAUCAGGAAAUCUGAAGUACAGAAAAUAAAGAAAUACAUUGUUGCCCCAUCCACAAAGGAGUACUAUGAGCCACAGCAGCUUUAUGGUGCUUUGCAGAUGUCCAGCUUCAUAGGAAAAGGAAUGGCAUAUUUACAAUUGCAACUGAAGAUACGGCUAUAAUGUGGGCCAACUUUAACCUUCAGCCACACUUGACAGUAGUAGUGAGAGUGGGACUGAGAAUAGAAAGUGAAAGGCAACAGUAGUAACUUCAGCUUGGUGUAUGCUCUGAACGCCACGUAAUGACCUGUUUUAAAGCUGUACACAACCAGGUUAUUUGCAGUUGUUAGCCAUGUUAGAUACAAAAUAUCAUAUCUAACUACAAUCAUGUUUACUAAUAACAGUAAGAAUAUAAAAACAUUACAUAAUUGUCAGAUAACUGUUACGAUCUGAAUUGUCAGAUAAUUCUUACAUCUUAAAUAAAUUUAUGCUGAAUUUAUUUCUAUAUUAUUU